rnacentral:rRNA from 1 species
CUGGCGGCAUGCCUUACACAUGCAAGUCGAACGGCAGCGCGGGGCAACCUGGCGGCGAGUGGCGAACGGGUGAGUAAUAUAUCGGAACGUACCCUAGAGUGGGGGAUAACGUAGCGAAAGUUACGCUAAUACCGCAUACGAUCUGAGGAUGAAAGUGGGGGAUCGCAAGACCUCAUGCUCCUGGAGCGGCCGAUAUCUGAUUAGCUAGUUGGUGGGGUAAAGGCCUACCAAGGCAUCGAUCAGUAGCUGGUCUGAGAGGACGACCAGCCACACUGGGACUGAGACACGGCCCAGACUCCUACGGGAGGCAGCAGUGGGGAAUUUUGGACAAUGGGCGCAAGCCUGAUCCAGCAAUGCCGCGUGAGUGAAGAAGGCCUUCGGGUUGUAAAGCUCUUUUGUCAGGGAAGAAACGGUAUCCUCUAAUACAGGGUACUAAUGACGGUACCUGAAGAAUAAGCACCGGCUAACUACGUGCCAGCAGCCGCGGUAAUACGUAGGGUGCAAGCGUUAAUCGGAAUUACUGGGCGUAAAGCGUGCGCAGGCGGUUUUGUAAGUCUGUCGUGAAAUCCCCGGGCUCAACCUGGGAAUUGCGAUGGAGACUGCAAGGCUAGAAUCUGGCAGAGGGGGGUAGAAUUCCACGUGUAGCAGUGAAAUGCGUAGAGAUGUGGAGGAACACCGAUGGCGAAGGCAGCCCCCUGGGUCAAGAUUGACGCUCAUGC